rnacentral:misc_RNA from 1 species
UAUGAAGAACGCAGCGAAAUGCGAUAAGUAAUGUGAAUUGCAGAAUUCAGUGAAUCAUCGAAUCUUUGAACGCACAUUGCGCCCCUUGGUAUUCCGAGGGGCAUGCCUGUUCGAGCGUCAUAUUAACCACUCCCGCUUGCGGGGUCUUGGGCUUCGCCUCCGGGCGGGCCUUAAAAUCAGUGGCGGUGCCGUCGGGCUCUACGCGUAGUAAAUUUUCUCGCGAUAGGGUCCCGGUGGAUGCUUGCCAACAACCCCCAACUUCUUAAGGUUGACCUCGGAUCAGGUAGGGAUACCCGCUGAACUUAAGCAUAUCAAUAAGCGGAGGA